UGUGGGGUACUCGAGUGGCGAACGGGUGAGUAACACGUGAGUAACCUACCCUUGACUUUGGGAUAACUUCAGGAAACUGGGGCUAAUACCGGAUAGGAGCUCCUGCUGCAUGGUGGGGGUUGGAAAGUUUCGGCGGUUGGGGAUGGACUCGCGGCUUAUCAGCUUGUUGGUGGGGUAGUGGCUCACCAAGGCUUUGACGGGUAGCCGGCCUGAGAGGGUGACCGGCCACAUUGGGACUGAGAUACGGCCCAG
rnacentral:rRNA from 1 species